rnacentral:rRNA from 1 species
AACGAACGCUGGCGGCAGGCCUAACACAUGCAAGUCGAACGCCCUAGCAAUAGGGAGUGGCAGACGGGUGAGUAACACGUGGGAACGUGCCCUUCGGUUCGGAAUAACUCAGGGAAACUUGAGCUAAUACCGGAUAAGUGCGAGAGCAGAAAGAUUUAUCGCCGAAGGAUCGGCCCGCGUCCGAUUAGCUAGUUGGUGAGGUAAAGGCUCACCAAGGCGACGAUCGGUAGCUGGUCUGAGAGGAUGACCAGCCACACUGGGACUGAGACACGGCCCAGACUCCUACGAGAGGCAGCAGUGGGGAAUAUUGGACAAUGGGCGCAAGCCUGAUCCAGCCAUGCCGCGUGAGUGAUGAAGGCCCUAGGGUUGUAAAGCUCUUUCGCCAGGGACGAUAAUGACGGUACCUGGAUAAGAAGCCCCGGCUAACUUCGUGCCAGCCGCCGCCGCGG